rnacentral:rRNA from 1 species
CCAACAGGGAUUGCCUCAGUAACGGCGAGUGAAGCGGCAACAGCUCAAAUUUGAAAUCUGGCUCCUUCGGGGUCCGAGUUGUAAUUUGUAGAGGAUGCUUCGGGUGCGGCGCCGGUCGAAGUCCCUUGGAACAGGGUGUCACAGAGGGUGAGAAUCCCGUACGUGGCCGGCGACCAAGCCCGUGUGAAGCUCCUUCGACGAGUCGAGUUGUUUGGGAAUGCAGCUCAAAAUGGGUGGUAAAUUUCAUCUAAAGCUAAAUACCGGCCAGAGACCGAUAGCGCACAAGUAGAGUGAUCGAAAGAUGAAAAGCACUUUGGAAAGAGAGUUAAAAAGUACGUGAAAUUGUUGAAAGGGAAGCGCUUGCAACCAGACCUGCCCGUGGGUGCUCAGCGGGGGCUCGCCCCCGCGCACUCGCCCACGAUCAGGCCAGCAUCAGUUCCGGCGACCGGAUAAAGGCCCCAGGAAUGUGGCUCCCCUCGGGGAGUGUUAUAGCCUGGGGCGGCAUACGGCCAGCCGGGACUGAGGACCGCGCUUCGGCAAGGAUGCUGGCGUAAUGGUUGCAAGCGGCCCGUCUUGAAACACGGACCAAGGAGUCUAACAUCUAUGCGAGUGUUUGGGUGUCAAACCCAUGCGCGCAAUGAAAGUGAAUGGAGGUCGGAGCCCAUCAGGGUGCACGAUCGACCGAUCUUGAAGUUUACGGAUGGAUUUGAGUAUGAGCAUAGCUGUUGGGACCCGAAAGAUGGUGAACUAUGCCUGAAUAGGGUGAAGCCAGAGGAAACUCUGGUGGAGGCUCGCAGCGGUUCUGACGUGCAAAUCGAUCGUCAAAUUUGGGUAUAGGGGCGAAAGACUAAUCGAACCAUGGCGGAGAGGGGUUGCUAGGUGGUUAAUUGGAGCGGCGGUCCUGACCGCCGCUCUCAGCCUUUCGAGGCGACAAUGCUUGGGUGCGUGGAUCCGGGCCCCUUCACCGAGGCCUGGGGAUAUGCAGCGGCCGCGAGAGCGUCCCGUACACAGACCAAACAGCAUUGGCCGGUGGUGCCCACCGGUUGCGAUAUGGCCGAGUCCCCGCUCCCACUGGAGCGGGGUGUACCG